rnacentral:lncRNA from 1 species
GGUAUCCUUCCACUGAAGGAAGAUUCCUCUGGCUACCAAGUAAAACUGCGAAUUAUGAAGACAAUCAUACGCACUUUUUUUAAUUAGCUUUUAGAUUUAUGCAAAAAUAGGAUUUAUUUAUGACAACAAUCUAACUCGUUUUUGUGGUGUUUAAUGCUUUCUUCAAUCUGACUGAUUUAAUGCCUUCUUUAAUUAGCUUUUAGAUUUGUAUAAUGCUUUCUUCAAUUUGUUUAUGAAAAUAAUCUGAUUGAUUUAUGUGGUUUAUGUGGUGUUGAAUGCCUUUUAUGAUCUAUGAAUUUGUUGUAGUGAUGAGGAGACAUGAUAGAAGGGGAAAAAAUAAAAAGGUUUCUUCUUUGUAAAGGAGAAGUCUGAUUUGCAGAUUUUUCUUUCUGCUGUUUGAAAUACUGGCAAAGAAAAAGGAAAAACAAAACAAAGAACCUAGUUAUAAGUUUUCAAGAGAGCCCUCAAUUUUACAUUUUGUUUUUUUGAAAGGUUUUGCCAGGAAUCAGGAAGCACACAUGGCCACAACUCC